GACGAACGCUGGCGGCGUGCUUAACACAUGCAAGUCGAACGGAAAGGCCCUGCUUGCAGGGUGCUCGAGUGGCGAACGGGUGAGUAACACGUGGGUGAUCUGCCCCUUACUUUGGGAUAAGCCUGGGAAGCUGGGUCUAAUACUGGAUAGGACCAUGCUGUAGGCGGUGUGGUGGAAAGAUUAGUUUCGGUAAGGGAUGAGCUCGCGGCCUAUCAGCUUGUUGGUGGGGUAAUGGCCUACCAAGGCGUCGACGGGUAGCCGGCCUGAGAGGGUGGACGGCCACAUUGGGACUGAGAUACGGCCCAGACUCCUACGGGAGGCAGCAGUGGGGAAUAUUGCACAAUGGGCGCAAGCCUGAUGCAGCGACGCCGCGUGGGGGAUGACGGCCUUCGGGUUGUAAACUCCUUUCAGCCAUGACGAAGCCCUUGUGGUGACGGUAGUGGUAGAAGAAGCACCGGCUAACUACGUG
rnacentral:rRNA from 1 species